CACUUUAUUAUGUGGCUUCGUGCCUUUCCUAUUACAUAAUGGAGGAGAUCCUUUACAACAAAAGAAAUGGAGGAGAUCGGUAUCUUCUAAGCACGUCUCUCUCGCCUUCCAAUCUCCCUCCUUAUUCUGCUUCUUCUUCUCUUCUUAUCUUCACUCCCACUCUCUUCCCUUCCAUUCUCCUCCACUCGCUAUCUUCUUACAUGUGCGAUCUGAGGCCCGAACCUUGACAGCGUCUCUACCAUUCCAAUCUUCACAGGCUUGGAUGAAACGACCCAAAUCGCUUAUGCACGACUCUGCUACUUCUGUCGUUCUUUGUUGUUGGUGUUACCCAACUCCCUAUUCCAAGGUUUGGAUCAAAGCAGGAAUCGUUCGAAAACUGUAACAAGCUCGGCAAUUGUUCGAGGAAAUUCCUCUGAGAAAUUUGAGGCCUGAUAUUGGCGCCUAUAAUGCUUUGCUGGCUACUUCUAUUAGAGCUAGAGAAGUGGGUUCUGCCAUUGGGUCGAUGGAUGAAAUGGAGGAGCUAGGAUUGAAGAGAUCAGAUGGCCUUGAGGGUGUUUGUAAGAUGUAUCAGAGGAUGGUUGAGAGAAAUUUUGUGCCCAAGAUGCGAACGGUUGUGAUGUUGAUGAAAUUCGUUGACUGUUUUCAAUGGUGUGGUCGUCUCCUACCCUUAUUUAUGAAAAGAGCUUCCUUUUUCAAAAUCUGAUCCAAAGCUAACUCAGACUUUUGUAUCAGAUAAUAUAUCUUGGGAAGCGUGAUGGCCCAACAUGCCACACAGGUUCAGAGACAUGCUAUUAUACAUCAGUGUUUGAUUUCUUGAAAGGUUCACAGUGUACUCAUUACAUUAGUGCUAGGGGAUAGAACAGAGUUCAUCAGUUUUCUUAUGGUUCGCUUGUGACAGGAUUUGAAAGAUAGGCUUUUGUUGACAACUAUAUGCUCAUUGGAAUCUACAAUCUCCACACGCAAAGCAUAAAUAGGAGCAACUGAAAAUGGGAAGCCAUCAUGGGCCAAACGACUAUUGUGUGACAACAAGUUGCUUUGCUCUAAAAUUCGCGAAGAACAUUCGGAAACAACAACUGAUUUCACCGCCAUCAACUAAGGGAUCUUGACCAGACCAAAAUCCCCUGCCGGGAUCGCCAAAUUCAAGCUCUCUAUAUUCAAUUUUGUUUGAUGUUGAAACUCUAUAAAGACAGGAUGAAAACAAUAUUCAAGGUUACAGCCAUCUUCCCACUCACAGACCUUGGAGUUGCGUUAAUGGGGAUCUCAACGACUGCCUCCUGAUGAAUAAGCACUCUUCAGCACCGAUCCUCUUGGAAUGCCUUCGUCUGUAUGUCCAAGACAAGGUUCUGAAUGCAAUUAUUAAUGUCUACACCAAAGGUUUCAACCUUCAGGUCUUCUGUAAGGAGAGAGAAAUAGACAGGGAAAAUAUAUUCCAUUGAAAAGUGGUGGUUUCAAAGAUGAAAAUUUUCAAUUUCAUAAAAAAAAAAUUAUAAUAUUUAAAUUAUUUGAACAUUUUAUUAAGAAAUUUCCACAGAUGGAUCUUGUUUUAAGCUAUUUUGCAUAGUCUACGCAUCAUGAAAAUCAGAGUAAGAUUAAUUAAAAAAAAAAAAAAAAAGAAGGUUACUUUGAACUACUGAGUGUCAUUAAUUUCCCUUGCUUGUAGCAAAUUUUAUAUGAACUAUCAAUAGUUAUUGGCUGCCUCUCUCUAUCUCUCUCUUCCUAACAUAAGCAUACACGUGCAUUUCUUACUAGUAUUAUAUAAAAGCACGAAGUGACAAAUCUUUCACUUGACAAUUUUGUCCUUUCUUCUUCAUUAUCUCUUCUCUCUCUUAUUUUUUUUAUUUUCUUAAAUGGUUGGUACC